UGGNCAGUAACUGACGCUGAGGAGCGAAAGCAUGGGGAGCGAACAGGAUUAGAUACCNUGGUAGUCCAUGCUGUAAACGGUGGGCGUUAGGUGUGGGGACCGGUUUGGUUUCUGUGCCGUAGCUAACGCAUUAAGCGCCCCGCCUGGGGAGUACGGCCGCAAGGCUAAAACUCAAAGGAAUUGACGGGGGCCCGCACAAGCGGCGGAGCAUGUGGAUUAAUUCGAUGCAACGCGAAGAACCUUACCUGGGUUUGACAUGCACCAGACGGUUGUAGAGAUACGUACCUCCCUUUGUGGUUGGUGUGCAGGUGGUGCAUGGUUGUCGUCAGCUCGUGUCGUGAGAUGUUGGGUUAAGUCCCGCAANNANNNNAACCCUUGUCUUAUGUUGCCAGCACUUUGGGUGGGGACUCAUGAGAGACUGCCGGGGUUAACUCGGAGGAAGGUGGGGAUGACGUCAAAUCAUCAUGCCCUUUAUGCCCAGGGCUUCACACAUGCUACAAUGGUUAGUACAACGCGCGGCAAACCUGUGAGGGUGAGCGAAUCGCUGAAAGCUAAUCUCAGUUCGGAUUGGGGUCUGCAACUCGAC
rnacentral:rRNA from 1 species